AGAGAGAGUAUUUAGCCUGUUGACUUUGAUUUUAUAACUAGACAUACACUAAAAAUUGUUCGCCUUCAACUCCCCAUUUAUUUGCGGGACCAAAUGAAAAUGUUGAGGCAAAAGGUCAUUUGUCCAAAGACCCUUAUAAGGUUUGCCAAUUUCACCAAGUUGAAACCUCUUCAAUUUGACGGGAACAUAGACAAAGAUAACAAGAAACCCUUCAUUCAAAGGAAUCUAGGCUCUAAAUUCUUCAACUUAUUCAUGUCUUCUUUGAAACCUGAAACAGCAUGUUCUUGCAAACACACAGAAAGUUUACAACCAUCCUUUUCCCCUUCAUUUGCUGAAGAAUAGGGCAAAAAGAAACGGGGCUCAACGCUUCCAAGUAGGUUUCUUGACAGAGGAAAAACUGUAACAGGACCUCCCCAACCAAAGUCCACUGUGGAAUGGCCUAAGUGUCUCCAAUCAGUAAUUCCACUCACCUUUGCUCCUACUGUGGUCCCUUCAUGAUAAUUUAGCUCCUGAAAAUCGAUAAAUGAUCGAACAUAUUCAUCAGAUACAUUUAUUUGCUCUUGUUGAUCAAUUCUGCUGUUUUAUAUAUCGGUUGAUCGACAUGGUCUUCAGCCUUGGUCAGAAUUCCCCAGUAUCCUGCUGGUAGUGGUGGCUUGACUAGCUUUCUUAUGUUGAUUGCAUAUGCAAACUUCACUUUCUCAUCAGAAGGGAUAUGCAAACUUCACUUUCUCAUCAGAAGGGAUCCCAGAAGCCUUAACUC
rnacentral:lncRNA from 1 species